rnacentral:rRNA from 1 species
CCUACGGGAGGCAGCAGUGGGGAAUAUUGGGCAAUGGGCGCAAGCCUGACCCAGCAACGCCGCGUGAAGGAAGAAGGCUUUCGGGUUGUAAACUUCUUUUAAGAGGUAAGAGCAGAAGACGGGACCUCUUGAAUAAGCCACUGCUAACUCCGAGCCAUCAGCCGCGGUAAUACGGAGGAUGCGAGCGUGAUCCGAAUAUAUUGGGUUUAAAGGGUGCGUAGUCUGAAUGCCAAGUAAUCGGUAAAAUCUCGGGGCUCAACCUCGUUCCGCCGUUGAAACUGGCGUUCUUGAGUGGUCGAGAAGUAUGCGGAAUGCGUGGUGUAGCGGUGAAAUGCAUAGAUAUCACGCAGAACUCCGAUUGCGAAGGCAGCAUACCGGCGCCCAACUGACGCUGAAGAACGAAAGCGUGGGUAUCGAACAGGAUUAGAUACCCUUGUAGUC